rnacentral:lncRNA from 1 species
AACGGCUUCCGGCAGGACCUGGAAGCGGCGACAUGGUUGUUGUAGUAAUAAUAAUUACAGUGAUUAGUGGAACUCUUCCGGUGGGAAAAGUCCGGCGGCGGAGCCCUGAUUCGUUCCACCAGGCAGUCGUGAGGCCGCAAAAUCUGGGUUGCCAUGGCAAAAAAUGAAAAGAAAUGUAAAAAUAAAAGGAAAAUGAAGGAGGUUGGUUUGUGUGUUUGUGGGAGAGAGAGAAAGAGAAUGAAACACGGGUGAAGUAA